AAAGAAUGACAAGUAGCCACUGCAUCCUUUUCCCUUGAGUUCAAGUAAAACCAGCAUGCAACAUUAUUUGCAAAUUAGCUUCAUCUCUCUGGCUCCCAGUUAAAGUAGGAGCUGCUUGGUCCAGGGGCCCUCCCAAAAUAUCUCUUUAAGCCAUGUAAUGAUUCUGACUCUCUCAUGCCUGGUAGAUGAAAGAAGAUCUGUGAUUUAUUUUUAAAGCUUUGAACCCUAAACAUGGUCAAUCAUAGGAAAAAAAGAAUUAAAAAGAGAAAGUCCUGGUAAUACAAAGCUGGAAGAGAAGCAGACCUACACUUCACAGUAAAAUCCCUUUUCUUUGCACUUUUUUAUUAACAGCUCCAACUAUGAUCACUGCUUAAAUCUACCUGCAACACAGGAUGUUGGAAAAUUACCGAGAGACAGCAACAUCCUCCCCACUGCGUGGUGAGAAAGGAAGGAUGCACCUUCAGUUUGAACACCGGCCUUGGUGACCAUCCUGUGGGAUCCCAAAUGCUGUGUCCAGUGUGCCUCCCAGCCCCUGCAGACAACAACUAGGAGACAUUCAUGACUGUAGCAGGAACCAUCAGUGACACUCAGGCACAAAGGUGAGCUGAGGGACU
rnacentral:lncRNA from 14 species